AAAUAAGUGAUUUUACUUCAUUGGGGCCCAAUUUCAAGGGAGGAGUUUCGGAGUAGGAGUGAGAUUUACUGUGUUGCUGAAUACAAGCAUCAGCGCUGGAGGUAAAGGAAGAGAGAGUGCAAGAUGGGAGAAUGCACAGUGCAAUCCGGAUAUAAAACAGUAAUGGGCAGAAGAGGCAGAGGCAAGGAAGAGAUCAAUAAACCAACAAGCUUGGAAGGUACUUUGGAGCUUAGACAUUAGUCACAAAAUUAAACUGUUCAUUUGGAAAGGACCGAAGGAAGGGUGAAGAUUCGAGAUCUAAUAUGUUCAAGUUCUGGAGAGGAAAUGGAAACACUGGAACAUAUGUUGCUAGAUUGCAGCAGAGCUAAAGAGAUAUGGAAGUUGGCUCCAGUGCAAUGGAAUGGAAUUAAAAACUUGACAGGAAACUUCAAAAACUGGUGGCCAUCAGUAACCGAAGCAAGACACAGGGUUCAAGGGAAAGAUCAUAUAGGUCUCACGGCCUACACCUUGUGGCAAAUAUGGAGAAG